rnacentral:rRNA from 1 species
GACAGAGGGUGCAAACGUUGUUCGGAAUUACUGGGCGUAAAGCGCGUGUAGGCGGCUUUGCAAGUCGGAUGUGAAAUCCCACGGCUCAACCGUGGAAGUGCAUUCGAAACUGCAAGGCUAGAGUCCUGGAGAGGAAGGUGGAAUGCCUGGUGUAGAGGUGAAAUUCGUAGAUAUCAAGCGGAACACCGGUGGCGAAGGCGGCCUUCUGGACAGUGACUGACGCUGAGACGCGAAAGCGUGGGGAGCAAACAGG